rnacentral:rRNA from 1 species
CCAGCUCCAAUAGCGUAUAUUUAAGUUGUUGCAGUUAAAAAGCUCGUAGUUGGAUUUCGGGUUGGUUCUUGCGGUCCGCCUCUGGUGAGUACUGCUAGGACCUACCUUUCUGCCGGGGACGGGCUCCUGGGCUUCACUGUCCGGGACUCGGAGUCGGCGAGGUUACUUUGAGUAAAUUAGAGUGUUCAAAGCAAGCCUAUGCUCUGAAUAUGUUAGCAUGGAAUAACACGAUAGGACUCUGGCCUAUCUUGUUGGUCUGUGGGACCGGAGUAAUGAUUAAGAGGGACAGUCGGGGGCAUUCGUAUUUCAUUGUCAGAGGUGAAAUUCUUGGAUUUAUGAAAGACGAACUUCUGCGAAAGCAUUUGCCAAGGAUGUUUUCA